UUAAGGAGUGAGAGGCAUUAUUUUAGACAAAUGAUCCAAAGUCAUCACAGUGAUACAAUAACUGAGAGAUUUGCUGAGCGAAACACAUGAACAUAUGGAUUGAUUAAAAUAUAGGAAAGGAAACAGACCUGGAAGCGGUGAAAGGGCUCUUUUUUGAUCCUUUAAUAAUGUGCAGUCUUUAUAUAACCUCAGGUAAGCAGUGGAAUAAGACAUUUUGAUAAGAAUCUCUUUUUUUUUUUGAGUUUGACAAAUGGCAUUGACAUUUCCAUUUGUAGCUAUAUUAAAUAUAAAUACGGGCUUCUUUUUUUUUCUUUAUCCAAAGGAUCUAUGAGAGACGGCAGGUGUUAGUCAUUUUCUUUGUGACGGUGCACCUUAGUCAUCCUAAAUAACACACAUCUGAGUGCAAUUUAAUAAACAUGUGGACUGCUGAACUGCUCGUUUUUACAUCUUCUCUCAAGAACACCACCAAUUUCCCUGUAUUUUGGAGAGACGAGGUAUUUUCUUCUCUGCUUGCCUUCUCAUUACAACCACUGUUGUAAACUAGGAACUUGAGAGAUUAGCAUCUUUAUGCUAAUUCAGUAAUAGUCAAUAAUUAUAGUACGGUUCAACACCCAUGUGUGGGUUACUUCAAGGAGUAAUUCAUGAUCAUAAUCAAAAGCACAGUAUAUUUAACAAUAGCUCAGUUUCAAAUAGCAUGAAAACAACUUUGGUAUGUACGGAAGCCUUAAGCGGAGAUGCAUGAUUAAUUAUUUCUUUCUCAUUUUCUCGUGAUCCUGACAUAAGAAAAGUUGUUUUCUCGUGAUCUCGGCUUCGUUUUUCUGUGUACUCGACAUCCAUCAUCUUGAAGGUAACGGGUUUUUUUGAAUGGCUUUUUGGUUAAAUGCCUGAAGUAAGGUCUGGGGUUAACACAAGCUCUAGAUAUGUUCACGUUUUAUACAAUGGCGUAAAAUACAUCAGUAAGACCCCAGUCGGGAUUUUUUGAAAAGCUUUUAUGUGUCUUGAAAAAGCUGAUUGCUAACAAGUGGCUAAAUGGUACUACAGAGGUUGUCGAGGACAUUAAACGUCAUCACGCCGAACAGGAAAUCUCGUCUGCUACAGCCUCGUUGUGUUUAUACUAUUCCAACUCAAACUUUCCAACUUUUGGAUUUAUCCAUUUAUAGCAUUUUUUUAUUGCAUUGUGUUGUUUUUUUUUUUUAAAUUAGUUUUGUUUCAGGUUUGUUUCAGUCAUGGCUCCUAUUUACAAGUUUUAAGUGAAAACAUACCUUUUUUUUUAAAAGUCAUUACAUUCACUCAUAUUUUUAUUUGUAACCAUUGCUUUCAACGUAUUUGUUAUAGUAGUGACUAUAGCAGUAGUAGCAUUACAAUCCACGGUUUUGUUCACCCAUUUUUUCAUUGAUCUCUCUGCAAAUAUACACAUGUUCUAAUGCUGGAUGCCUUGCUUUUGAGUGCUUUAUACUCCAGGUGGUGGACAGAGACAUGGAGUUAAAGUGGGAGUUGCUUUAAUUACGGUGAUUCUCGCACUUCAAUCAGAACUCCUACUGCUAGCUCAAGCACCUGUGACAAGGUUGCCUGGAUACAAAGAGUCCUUUUUUCUGUCAUCACGCACUGCAAUGUUUUUACACACUCACACUCACACACACACACACACACACACACACAGGUACGUCAUGCUCACUUUUCCUGCGUCCAGACAAACUGACUUCUCCUCAUUCCCUCUCUUUGCUCCUGUCUCCACAAAUAUAAAAUAGCACAGCCAUUUUGAUCAGAUUUCAAAGACGCCAUUUCCAUUUUUGCGCAUUCACGCCUCAAGCCUCUGCACUUGAAAUUCAGCCCGUGUCCUUUUUUCCAGAGUGAUUUAUGGUGUUUGGUAGGCCGGUAAGGGAUCACCGUCGUGCAGAACCGCUUCUUUGAUUUAAUGCAUUUAACUUUCUUUCUCGCCACGCCUCGCAUUCUCCACUCUCUCAUCUUUCCCUUUGUUAUAGUUCACCGGGGAUUUUCAUUUCAUUUUGGUAGGGGCGCGUUUCGCAUCAGUGAGAGACCUACGACGUUUGUGUCAAUGCACAUAGACUGUGCUGCUGGCUCAUUCUUUGAUCACCUGUAAGUUUUGCAUGGGUGAAAUAUUAUUUACUCAGGUUAUAUUUGCACCGUUUAAAGGGUAUAAAAGUCAGUCAGGUCUUUUAUGUCAAAACAGAAAAUAAAUCUCAAUCUCAAGCAAUAUAAAUAAGGUUAAGUGGACGUGCGAUGAAGAGACGGAGCUGGACGUUCCGAUCCCUAUGACGGAUAAGGAAUGAGAAUGUCACGAGAAAGGCAGGGAUGGGUAAACAAUACGAACACAUAAUACAUCUUCUAUACAGUUGAGGUCAUAAGUUUACAUACUCCUUACAGAAUCUGCGAAAUGUUAGUAAUUUUAUUUUAUUUUUUUAAAAGAAGAGGAUCAUAAAAAUGUCAUUGUUUUUUUUUAUUGAGUCCUGCCCUGAAUAAGCUAUUUCACAUAACAGAUGUUUACAUAAAGGCCACAAGACACAAUAAUCACUGAAUUUACACAAAUGAACCAGUAAAACAGGAUGAUUGGAAUAAAUUGCUAUUAUUUUGUUUAAAGAUCUUUCUUUUUUUUUUUUUUUUUCAUUUAGCACUGCUCUUCAGAAGUUACAUAAGAUAUUUACAUGUUUCCAUCCAUUCAUUUUCUAUACGAUUAUCCUACAGGGUCGUGGGGAACCUGGACGGGGUGCCAAUCCAUCGCAGGGCACAAUCACAUACACAUUCACACACCCAUUCAUACAUUAUGCAUGCCUUUGGACUGGAGGAGGAAACCGGAGUACCUGGAGGAAACCUCCGCAGCACGGGGAGAACACGCAAACUCCACACACACAGGGCAGCGGCGGGAAUCAAACCCUCAACUCUGGAGCGAUGGAGUCUGGUCUGAGGCGGGAGACGAGUGGUGUGCAGAUGUGCAAAGAGGACCAGAGAGAAAAAGAGGGAGGGAAAGAAGACGGGGAAGACGGGGAAGAGGAGCAACAAAACAUCGAAGUGAUUGUCUUACCUUAAAGAUUCUUUUCAAUAUAGUAAAUGAUUAUAAUAGUUUCCAUAAACAGACAAACAUACAAGAACUCUCUCUCUCUCUCUCUCUCUCUCUCUCUCUCUCUCUCUCUCUCUCUCUCACACACACACACAUAUUUUGGAAAUUGGCAUCACUCAGAUUUUGUCUUGCCUUAAAAUCCUCAAGAAUUUUCAUUCCCC
ensembl:lncRNA